rnacentral:rRNA from 1 species
CACGUAGGGCGCAAGCGUUGUCCGGAAUUAUUGGGCGUAAAGAGCUCGUAGGCGGUCUGUUGCGUCUGCUGUGAAAACUCGGGGCUUAACCCCGAGCCUGCAGUGGAUACGGGCAGACUAGAGGUAGGUAGGGGAGAAUGGAAUUCCCGGUGUAGCGGUGAAAUGCGCAGAUAUCGGGAGGAACACCGGUGGCGAAGGCGGCUACCUGGACAGAAACUGACGCUGAGGCGCGAAAGCGAGGGGAGCAAACAGG